rnacentral:rRNA from 1 species
UUCUGUAGGGUGAACCUGCGGAAGGAUCAUUACCCAGUUUUCGAGCUCCGGCACGACUCUCCCACCCUUUGUGAACGUACCUCUGUUGCUUUGGCGGCUCCGGCCGCCAAAGGACCUUCAAACUCCAGUCAGUAAACGCAGACGUCUGAUAAACAAGUUAAUAAACUAAAACUUUCAACAACGGAUCUCUUGGUUCUGGCAUCGAUGAAGAACGCAGCGAAAUGCGAUAAGUAAUGUGAAUUGCAGAAUUCAGUGAAUCAUCGAAUCUUUGAACGCACAUUGCGCCCCUUGGUAUUCCGGGGGGCAUGCCUGUUCGAGCGUCAUUACAACCCUCAAGCUCUGCUUGGAAUUGGGCACCGUCCUCACUGCGGACGCGCCUCAAAGACCUCGGCGGUGGCUGUUCAGCCCUCAAGCGUAGUAGAAUACACCUCGCUUUGGAGCGGUUGGCGUCGCCCGCCGGACGAACCUUCUGAACUUUUCUCAAGGUUGACCUCGGAUCAGGUAGGGAUACCCGCUGAACUUAAGCAUAUCAAUAAGGCGGAGGAAA